rnacentral:rRNA from 1 species
UACGUAGGGUGCGAGCGUUAUCCGGAUUCACUGGGUUAAAGGGUGCGUAGGCGGGUAAGUAAGUCCGUGGUGAAAUCUCUGAGCUUAACUCAGAAACUGCCGUGGAUACUAUUUGCCUUGAAUAUUGUGGAGGUGAGCGGAAUAUGUCAUGUAGCGGCGAAAUGCUUAGAUAUGACAUAGAACACCAAUUGCGAAGCAGCUCGCUACACUAUUAUUGACACUGAGGCACG